UCUGGCGGCACGCUUAACACAUGCAAGUCGAACGAGAGAAGAGGAGCUUGCUUUUCUGAUCUAGUGGCGGACGGGUGAGUAACACGUGAGCAAUCUGCCUUUCAGAGGGGGAUACCGAUUGGAAACGAUCGUUAAUACCGCAUAACAUAAUUGAACCGCAUGAUUUGAUUAUCAAAGAUUUAUCGCUGAAAGAUGAGCUCGCGUCUGAUUAGCUAGUUGGUAAGGUAACGGCUUACCAAGGCGACGAUCAGUAGCCGGACUGAGAGGUUGAUCGGCCACAUUGGGACUGAGACACGGCCCAGACUCCUACGGGAGGCAGCAGUGGGGAAUAUUGCACAAUGGAGGAAACUCUGAUGCAGCGAUGCCGCGUGAGGGAAGAAGGUUUUAGGAUUGUAAACCUCUGUCUUCAGGGACGAAAAAAGACGGUACCUGAGGAGGAAGCUCCGGCUAACUACGUGCCAGCAGCCGCGGUAAUACGUAGGGAGCGAGCGUUGUCCGGAAUUACUGGGUGUAAAGGGAGCGUAGGCGGGAUCGCAAGUCAGAUGUGAAAACUAUGGGCUUAACCCAUAAACUGCAUUUGAAACUGUGGUUCUUGAGUGAAGUAGAGGUAAGCGGAAUUCCUAGUGUAGCGGUGAAAUGCGUAGAUAUUAGGAGGAACAUCAGUGGCGAAGGCGGCUUACUGGGCUUUAACUGACGCUGAGGCUCGAAAGCGUGGGGAGCAAACAGGAUUAGAUACCCUGGUAGUCCACGCCGUAAACGAUGAUUACUAGGUGUGGGGGGACUGACCCCUUCCGUGCCGCAGCAAACGCAAUAAGUAAUCCACCUGGGGAGUACGACCGCAAGGUUGAAACUCAAAGGAAUUGACGGGGGCCCGCACAAGCAGUGGAGUAUGUGGAUUAAUUCGAAGCAACGCGAAGAACCUUACCAGGUCUUGACAUCGUAUGCAUAGCUCAGAGAUGAGUGAAAUCUCUUCGGAGACAUAUAGACAGGUGGUGCAUGGUUGUCGUCAGCUCGUGUCGUGAGAUGUUGGGUUAAGUCCCGCAACGAGCGCAACCCUUACUGUUAGUUGCUACGCAAGAGCACUCUAGCAGGACUGCCGUUGACAAAACGGAGGAAGGUGGGGAUGACGUCAAAUCAUCAUGCCCCUUAUGACCUGGGCCUCACACGUACUACAAUGGCUGUCAACAGAGGGAAGCAAAGCCGCGAGGUGGAGCGAACCCCUAAAAGCAGUCUUAGUUCGGAUUGUAGGCUGCAACCCGCCUACAUGAAGUCGGAAUUGCUAGUAAUCGCAGAUCAGCAUGCUGCGGUGAAUACGUUCCCGGGCCUUGUACACACCGCCCGUCACGCCAUGGGAGUCGGUAACACCCGAAGCCUGUAGUCUAACCGCAAGGAGGACGCAGUCGAAGGUGGGAUUGAUGACUGGGGUGAAGUCGUAACAAGGUA
rnacentral:rRNA from 1 species